GAUGAACGCUGGCGGCGUGCCUAAUACAUGCAAGUCGAGCGAACAGACGAGGAGCUUGCUCCUCGGACGUUAGCGGCGGACGGGUGAGUAACACGUGGAUAACCUACCUAUAAGACUGGGAUAACUUCGGGAAACCGGAGCUAAUACCGGAUAAUAUAUUGAACCGCAUGGUUCAAUAGUGAAAGACGGUGUUGCUGUCACUUAUAGAUGGAUCCGCGCCGCAUUAGCUAGUUGGUAAGGUAACGGCUUACCAAGGCAACGAUGCGUAGCCGACCUGAGAGGGUGGUCGGCCACACUGGAACUGAGACACGGUCCAGACUCCUACGGGAGGCAGCAGUAGGGAAUCUUCCGCAAUGGGCGAAAGCCUGACGGAGCAACGCCGCGUGAGGGAUGAAGGUCUUCGGAUCGGAAAACUCUGUUAUUAGGGAAGAACAAAUGUGUAAGUAACUAUGCACGUCUUGACGGUACCUAAUCAGAAAGCCACGGCUAACUACGUG
rnacentral:rRNA from 1 species